UACAGAGGUCUCAACCGUUGUUCGGAUUCAUUGGGCGUAAAGGGUGCGUAGGCGGUCGUGCAAGUCGGAUGUGAAAUCUCAGGGCUCAACCCCGUGACUGCAUCCGAUACUGUCAGGCUAGAGGUAGGUAGGGGAGAUCGGAAUUCCUGGUGUAGCGGUGAAAUGCGCAGAUAUCAGGAGGAAUACCGGUGGCGAAGGCGGCAUCCUGGACCGACAUUGACGCUGAACGGCGAAAGCUAGGGGAGCAAACGGG
rnacentral:rRNA from 1 species